AUACGGAGGGUGCAAGCGUUACUCGGAAUCACUGGGCGUAAAGCGCGCGCAGGCGGCCAUUUAAGUUGGAUGUGAAAGCCUACGGCUCAACCGUAGAACUGCAUCCAAAACUAUUUGGCUAGAGUGUGGGAGAGGAAGAUGGAAUUAGUUGUGUAGGGGUAAAAUCCGUAGAGAUAACUAGGAAUACUAAAAGCGAAGGCAAUCUUCUGGAACACUACUGACGCUGAGGCGCGAAAGCGUGGGGAGCAAACGGGAUUAGAUACCCUAGUAGUCC
rnacentral:rRNA from 1 species